rnacentral:rRNA from 1 species
GACGAACGCUGGCGGCGUGCCUAAUACAUGCAAGUUGAGCGAUGAAGCUUGGUGCUUGCACCAAUUUGAAGAGCAGCGAGCGGGUGAGUAACGCGUGGGGAAUCUGCCUUUGAGCGGGGGACAACAUUUGGAAACGAAUGCUAAUACCGCAUAACAACUUUAAACAUAAGUUUUAAGUUUGAAAGAUGCAAUUGCAUCACUCAAAGAUGAUCCCGCGUUGUAUUAGCUAGUUGGUGAGGUAAAGGCUCACCAAGGCGAUGAUACAUAGCCGACCUGAGAGGGUGAUCGGCCACAUUGGGACUGAGACACGGCCCAAACUCCUACGGGAGGCAGCAGUAGGGAAUCUUCGGCAAUGGACGAAAGUCUGACCGAGCAACGCCGCGUGAGUGAAGAAGGUUUUCGGAUCGUAAAACUCUGUUGGUAGAGAAGAACGUUGGUGAGAGUGGAAAGCUCAUCAAGUGACGGUAACUACCCAGAAAGGGACGGCUAACUACGUG